rnacentral:lncRNA from 1 species
CGGGCGGGCGAGCGGGCGCCGUGCGCUUGUCCCGCGGCCGGGCUGCUAAUAAAGUUGCGGCGCGUGCACAGCGCCGCGACGGCGUGAGGAGAGCGCGCCCGGACGGCGGGGAGGUGUCCCUGUGAAGAGUUGGAUUUCUGAAUCUGGAGGAGCUGUGGAUACUUGCUUUCUGUUUCUCGGCUUUUCUGCCAGCAAUCAUAGCUGCAGCCUACCAGUUCUAAAAUAACGGUAUACCUGGCUUUAGUAUUGUGGAGGCAGUGGAGGUGGGUGUUGUCCCUUGUGAACCUUGGUAGCUACUGUUCAUGUUAGAACCAAAGGGUAAGAGGUUUUUAAAGUGUCAUCCUGGCUAACCUUGAAAGUUAAAGCAGCUGUGUACUUGCAGGUGGCUUGCUUAUAGCUGCCUGAUUCUGAACUCGUUGGUUCCCAAACUUGUUACCUAACCUGGGAUUCCUAUUGGAAAUGUGGGGAAGUUUUGUUUUGUUUUUGAGACAGGGUCUCACCGUGUGGCCCUAGCUGGCAAAGAAAUCACUGUAUAGACCACGCUGGCCUCGAGCUCACAGAGUCCAUUCUGCUUUCUGAGGGCUGGGGUUAACACACCCCGCUUUUUUUUUUUUUUUUUUUUUUUUUUUUAAGAUCCCCCCCCAUGUGUCUGUGUGUGUCUUUGUGCGUGGCCAUAGGUGCCUGUGGAGGAGGCAGAAGAAGCUGUUCUAUCUUCUGGAGCUGGAGUAGUUAGGGUGUUUGUGAGCCACCUGCUGUGUGUGAGGCUCUCCAGCAAGAACAAUACUUGAGCCUCUGAGCCAUCUUUCCUGCAUGAAGAUGCCCAUAAAGGAUUUGGGGGGGAAAUGGUAUUGUAAUGCUGCCUUUCAUAAGAGAAUUCAUACAUGUAGAAAUGUCUGUGUAUUUAAGGAGCUUUCUUAACCCUCGUUUAACAUCUGAAUAUACAUGUAGGUGAGUAAUUCUGAUUGUGAAGAGUAAAGGAAACUUUUGUCACGUGAUGAACCUAUCUCACAUCUGUAAACUACAGUUAAAGGAGUCUGUGAAAGUGAGUUGAAUAGAAAACCUUGAAAUGGAAGCCAGGCCCUCUGCACUGGACGCAAAUACUCCACGUGAGACACUGUAUAGAGCUAAUGCAUGAGUCAGGGGGGUAAGUAACAUAGGCUUCCAUUCCCAACCCCUGGUGAGGGCCGAGUUGAAGACUAGCCUGACAGCACACUCGAGUCUGUGUGAAACCAUCAGCUGGAGUUGAAACUCAGAUGGCAUCAAAAACCCAGUAAGGAUGAUGAAGUGCCAAGGGAGAUGCUGACUUUCUCUUCAAAGGUGAAUAAGAAACCCUGUAAAUGCAAGGGUUAGGGAACAGGCAUUCAGCCACACCCCCACAUCAGCAGGCAUCAAGUCACUCAGGAAAGUGAGGACCCAGCUGUUAAGAGUUGGUCUUGGGAUGUGGCACCCUGGCUUUGUGCUUGGGAAGCUUGUCAUAUAUGGGUGUUUGUGAUGGUGACUUGUGGGGUCAUUGUGGAACAUUGGUUUGCAUGGGGUGAUGUUGUCAACAGAGUUUGCUUUGUCUGUAAGCUUUGGGGGAAAUUUGAGGAAUUGUUUUGCCUGUCUUUUAUUUUGGGUUGAAGAAGUAAGAGAUGUUGGAGCAGAAAGUGAAGGCGCUGCUGUUGGCAGGAAUUUAGAAGUUUGACCAUGAACUCUGUCUGGGGGAGGGCGUUGGAGAGUGGUUCUGUUGGUCAAGAUGAGGGAAAUGGCUCUGUGAGGGAAAAGCUUGAGUAGUCAAUCUAUGUCAGUAUGACUUCAUAUGAUACUCGAGUCUUGGAGCUUAGCAACAUUUUCUUCAUGCAUUUAGUGUGUACGCCAUUGAAGUCCUGGUCUUUGUUUUUCUUCAUGCAUUUAAUGUGUACGCCGUUAAAGUCCUGGUCUUUGUUUAGACUGCGGAUCAGCCUUUCCUAAGUGAGUUGGUGACAAGCCCCAUUCCUCCAGUUGCAAUCACUAUUGACUCUUGUUCUCACACAGCUGCUAUCUCUUCAUCGGGAAUCCUCUGUCUGCUUCUCACCAGUGCUGUCCUCCUCUCACUUAGAUUGCUUCAGCUGUCAGCACACUAUAGCCACAGAUCUCCUUAGGGUCUUUCUUUGCAUUGCCUUAUUAUAAUGGUUCCCCUUGUUUCCUUACAGUUUUGGUUCAUUUGGUACCAGUGAAGCCCAGCCCAGUCAUCUAAUUAUAAACAAUACCUCUCUUCACACUUCCUAUUAACCCAUCUCUGUCCCCCCUCUCCCACAAUCUGAUUUUAUUUUUUCCUUUCAUAGCAGUUUUGGAUUUUUGGUACAGGGUGUUGUUAAGUAGUCCUGGCUGGCCUGGAACUCACUGUGUAGAUCUACUCAACUUUGAACUUGUGGGCAGUCCUGCUGAGGAUAUAAGCCUUCCUCCAUAUUCUGCCAGCUGUUGCUUGUUAAAAGUCCUUUUUGUGUGCGUCCCACCGCUGGGUUGUAAGUUACAAGAAGACAAGGGUUUUACCACCCCCCACCUCCGUUUCUCUGUAUGUCCCUGACUCUGUAGACCAGACUAGCCACAAACUCGAGAUCCACCUGCCUCUUCCUCCUCAGUACUGGGAUUAAAGGUUGUGCCUCCAAACCCCUUUCACUGUUAUGUUCCCAGCUCAUAAUAAUGCCCUAAUUGAAUUAAUGUUUUAUUAUUAGUUUGAAUAAACUAUGUAUGUAGUAAAUGGUAACUAUGAAAUUAGUGGGUUAAAGAAUUUAUUUUUAACUAUUAAUUUCGUUUUUAAUUAUCUUCCUUGGGAUGACAGCCAAAGCUUAAGUCUGAGAUAAGAGAUGGAAUUUAGUAGUUAAAAACUGCAUUUGUAAAAUCAGAGAACAAAGAUAGUCUAUAAGGAAAUGUGGUUUUCAAGAAUUGGGGUGAGGGACAUUGUCUCUGGAGCUUUACUGUCUUGAGGUGUAGCACCUCAUUUGUAAUGAGGAUGCGCUGGAAGUGCUGGGAGCCUGCUCAGAGGCUCUUUCUUGGCCCCUCUUUGUUUCUUGACACCUCACAUGUAUCUAGAAAGAAUUAUAUAGUUUACAGAUGAACUAGUGUCUGCUAUGCUAAAUUAUUCUGAAAGGAGAUUUUGGACCACCUGCAUGAUUCACUUUCACACUACCUUUGCAAGUGACGUAGAAAAGGGGGCCCUCAUUUUCUCCUACAGCCUUGUGUAAGGAACAAACUGCAUUACCUGGCUCAAUCCGGUGAUUCCUUGAAUGUCGAGUGGCGGCUCCUACAUAAGACACCAAUAAAGGUCUAAGGUGAUCCCUGAUGUCUUCAGAAUCAGGUGGCUCCUACAUAAGACAUCAAUAAAGGUUUAAGGUGAUCCCUGAUGUCUUCAGAAUCAGGUCCAUGCACACAAUUUUAUUUUCCUAUUGGUUUAGGAUGCAGUAUUCACAGACAUAUUUUCCAUUCUCUUCUGAUUGAUGUUUCUUAGUCUAGAAAUUUACGUAUCCCUAAAUAAAUUAGAGGGAAUAAUUUUGGAAUAGGAAUGUCUUCUGAUAAUGUAAGUGUUCUUAGUGAGGAUUUUGAGAUGACUAUGUCUGUACUUAGGUUUUAAAAAGUUACAUUUUUCCCCUUCCUCUCAGAAAUACAUGUUAACUAAAUUAUUUAUUUACUUUUUGUGCAAAUGCCCAGCUAUAUCUUGUACAAAUGUCCAGCUAUAUCUCCACCCCAGAAAUACGUUAUCUUUUCCUUUCUGAAAAAAAAGUACAUGUGCGCGCACACACGUGUUUGAGUUGUGUACACAUGUGUCUGCAGGUAUGUGUGUACAUGUAUGUGUAAGUGCACAUUUAUUAUUGGAUGUGUAGUCCUAAAUGAAAACAAAUACUAUUUUUCCUCUGGAAUUUACAUUCUCUUGGGGCAGAUAAAUGUAAGAGAGAUGGUAUACCUUAAGUCUAAUAGGGGAGUUUCUCCUGGAGAAGAGGUGUUUGAUUUCAAAGAGAUGUAUGUGAGAACUUUUGUGAUGUGUCUGUAAUGUAAUGAAUUUGCAGUACAUGAACACAUGGUUUCUCUCUGCCACUUUCUCUUGUGCUGGAGAUCAAACCCACCCCAGCCUUGUGAUGGCUCUUCGUUUUAGAAGGUUUUCACGUGUAGCUGAGGGCCAGUGCAUUUCUCCAAUUUCUGAGUGAUGUUCUUAAUUUAGUUCAGUCACUAGUAGGAGCACUACAGAGGAAUUCCAGGGAGUUUAACACAUCCAGAAGUUUCUGUAUCCUACCAUCCUGGUUUUUGUUUUCCAGCUCUGACAGAAGAGCUGGGCGGUGAUGGCACAUGCCUUUAAUUUAAUCCCAGCACUUGGGAGACAGAGGCAGGCAGAUCUCUGUGAGUUCCAGGACAGCCAGGGAUACACAGAGAAACUCUA